GAUGAACGCUGGCGGCGUGCCUAAUACAUGCAAGUCGAGCGAACAGACGAGGAGCUUGCUCCUCUGACGUUAGCGGCGGACGGGUGAGUAACACGUGGAUAACCUACCUAUCAGACUGGGAUAACUUCGGGAAACCGGAGCUAAUACCGGAUAAUAUAUUGAACCGCAUGGUUCAAUAGUGAAAGACGGUUUUGCUGUCACUUAUAGCUGGAUCCGCGCCGCAUUAGCUAGUUGGUAAGGUAACGGCUUACCAAGGCGACGAUGCGUAGCCGACCUGAGAGGGGGAUCGGCCACACUGGAACGGAAACGGGGUCCAGACUCCUACGGGAGGCAGCAGUAGGGAAUCUUCCGCAAUGGGCGAAAGCCUGACGGAGCAACGCCGCGUGAGUGAUGAAGGUCUUCGGAUCGUAAAACUCUGUUAUUAGGGAAGAACAAAUGUGGAAGUAACUAUGCACGUCUUGACGGCACCUAGUCAGAAAGCCACGGCUAACUACGUG
rnacentral:rRNA from 1 species